UCUAGCUACAGGCUUAACACAUGCAAGUCGAGGGGCAGCAUGGUCUUAGCUUGCUAAGGCCGAUGGCGACCGGCGCACGGGUGAGUAACACGUAUCCAACCUGCCGUCUACUCUUGGACAGCCUUCUGAAAGGAAGAUUAAUACAAGAUGGCAUCAUGAGUCCGCAUGUUCACAUGAUUAAAGGUAUUCCGGUAGACGAUGGGGAUGCGUUCCAUUAGAUAGUAGGCGGGGUAACGGCCCACCUAGUCUUCGAUGGAUAGGGGUUCUGAGAGGAAGGUCCCCCACAUUGGAACUGAGACACGGUCCAAACUCCUACGGGAGGCAGCAGUGAGGAAUAUUGGUCAAUGGGCGAGAGCCUGAACCAGCCAAGUAGCGUGAAGGAUGACUGCCCUAUGGGUUGUAAACUUCUUUUAUAAAGGAAUAAAGUCGGGUAUGGAUACCCGUUUGCAUGUACUUUAUGAAUAAGGAUCGGCUAACUCCGUGCCAGCAGCCGCGGUAAUACGGAGGAUCCGAGCGUUAUCCGGAUUUAUUGGGUUUAAAGGGAGCGUAGAUGGAUGUUUAAGUCAGUUGUGAAAGUUUGCGGCUCAACCGUAAAAUUGCAGUUGAUACUGGAUAUCUUGAGUGCAGUUGAGGCAGGCGGAGUUCGUGGUGUAGCGGUGAAAUGCUUAGAUAUCACGAAGAACUCCGAUUGCGAAGGCAGCCUGCUAAGCUGCAACUGACAUUGAGGCUCGAAAGUGUGGGUAUCAAACAGGAUUAGAUACCCUGGUAGUCCACGCGGUAAACGAUGAAUACUCGCUGUUUGCGAUAUACUGCAAGCGGCCAAGCGAAAGCGUUAAGUAUUCCACCUGGGGAGUACGCCGGCAACGGUGAAACUCAAAGGAAUUGACGGGGGCCCGCACAAGCGGAGGAACAUGUGGUUUAAUUCGAUGAUACGCGAGGAACCUUACCCGGGCUUAAAUUGCAGAUGAAUUACGGUGAAAGCCGUAAGCCGCAAGGCAUCUGUGAAGGUGCUGCAUGGUUGUCGUCAGCUCGUGCCGUGAGGUGUCGGCUUAAGUGCCAUAACGAGCGCAACCCUUGUUGUCAGUUACUAACAGGUUCCGCUGAGGACUCUGACAAGACUGCCAUCGUAAGAUGUGAGGAAGGUGGGGAUGACGUCAAAUCAGCACGGCCCUUACGUCCGGGGCUACACACGUGUUACAAUGGGGGGUACAGAGGGCCGCUACCACGCGAGUGGAUGCCAAUCCCCAAAACCUCUCUCAGUUCGGACUGGAGUCUGCAACCCGACUCCACGAAGCUGGAUUCGCUAGUAAUCGCGCAUCAGCCACGGCGCGGUGAAUACGUUCCCGGGCCUUGUACACACCGCCCGUCAAGCCAUGGGAGCCGGGGGUACCUGAAGUGCGUAACCGCGAGGAGCGCCCUAGGGUAAAACUGGUGACUGGGGCUAAGU
rnacentral:rRNA from 1 species